rnacentral:other from 2 species
GAAACCCUACUGUGUGCGUAAAAAGUUCUCGAUGUUUUGAACCAACACUUUUACAUCGGGAGUCCGGGCUCUAUGGCGGCAAAACAAUGCCUACACGGGACUGUUAAGCGUUAUAGGAGGACACCCACCUGCUCAGGCAGGCUCAAAACUCGGCUAAGACGGCAUGGUGGGGCUCUU